UUUUUAUCAUUUUUUUGUUGAAUCUGCUCAAUCUGAAAGGGAUAAUGGGGUAUUAAUAUCGUAUUAAUGGGGUGUAAUAUUUAGUUAUAUGUACCGUCAUCGAGUAUUGGUCAGCAUUUUCUGCAACCGGCCUAAGAAAUUCGCACCCGUUCCCCACAGGAAGACAAGAUAAAUUCAUGACAAACAUGAAAUUCUUUUUUCGACCAAGAUUGUACGGAUUACUGAAUGGGGGUAAAUGAGGGCAAAUCUUUCUUCGAUAGUUUGCCUUCUCGAUAAUCCAUUCUUCAAUUGUCGUCUCAUUCUUUAGAACGACUUUCAUCUACGAACAAAAAUUACGUUUAGUUAUAUGUACCAAAAUGAAAGACGGAUUAGUUAACUGUCUUGUUUAGUUUUAGUUCACCUGGUAGAACAAAAGCACCCCAACGCCAAGCGCCACACCGACGGCGCAUCCACAGCUAAACAAACACCAGAUAAAGCCGUACAUUCCCAAGUAGACGAAUGGAACGUUAACUCCGUAGUACAUGUACUCUAUACAAGGAACACACGAGAACAACGGUCGCAUGGGAGCAACCAAUCACUGCACUGAAGAGAAAGGAGACGAAAUAUGCGUGAUUGUGAUGUCCCACGCAACAGUUGAUCCAUGGACAAUGAUGAUCCAGUUUCAUGACGCAUCGUCCACCUGGUGAAAUAAUCGGUCAUUAAUUAAUUAGUAAUUAAUUAAUAAGAAAUCAAAAAUUUCAUGCUCAUAUUUACAUUUCCUGCAAUGAUGGGCGCGAGGUGCUUUGAAUCCUUUACAAAUGCUGCAGUACUUUAAAUAGAAUUAAAAUUAAAAUUAAAAUACGUAAAGUGAGAGCAAUUUUGUCGAAAUUUCGAUUUUUUGAGCGUAAAACAAAACUUUAGAAGUUGGAAUACCUGUAGCUUGGAUUUUGAACUCGUAUCUUCCUAAUAAUCAGAAAAAGAUGUAUAAUUUAGAACACACAAAUUUAGGAAAUCAAAAAUUUUGCCUUACUGGGGUCCAUCCCAAGGGCAAAAAGCCAGGACCGUUUGAAAUCGCUGAGAAGAAAUUAAACAUGACCAUUCCACUUGAAACUAGGAAAGACGUCAGUGACAAUAAUCCUCCAAUACUUUCAUUCGGAGGCCUGCAUAAUCAGUAGUAAAUUAUGUUGUGCUAUGUUUAAUUGGAAAAUAAAAUAACAAUUACUUACCACCA